GGAACAUUGAGCAAGCAGGAGCUAAGGGAAUAUGCGGAUGGUACACUAACAGAUAUCUUCAUUGAAAGAGUUUUUGAUGAGCAUGUUCGACGUGGAAAAAUUGGAGGCGGCAAUGCCCGUGAAAUGGAUUUUGAAAGUUUCCUUGACUUCGUUCUAGCCCUGGAAAACAAGGAUGCCCCGGAGGGUCUUACAUAUUUGUUCAGGUGUCUUGAUCUCCAAGGAAGGGGUUUCUUAACUACAGCGGAUAUUCACACACUAUUCAGAGAUGUCCAUCAAAAAUGGAUUGAAGGAGGGAACUAUGAACUAUGCAUCGAGGAUGUAAGGGAUGAAAUAUGGGAUAUGGUGAAGCCGUCUGACUCUUUGAGGAUAUCACUGGCUGAUUUGCUAUCAUGCAAACAAGGUGGCACUGUUGCAAGCAUGCUUAUAGAUGUGCGUGGUUUCUGGGCCCAUGACAACAGAGAAAAUCUUCUACAGGAAGAGGAAGAACCCCAAGAAGAAGGAUGAAGGAUUUUUAAGAGCCAAUCAUCUGUAAUUGCACUAACAUCAGAUCCUAGUUUUCAGAAUAGAUUAUCCUGUGUAUGUAGAGUAUUUGGCUUUUCUUGGUCGUGUGAAUGGAAUGUGGUUAACAAUGCUGUCAUUUAAGGUAGCCUUCUUGGAUGCUGAACAAACCUCCAGAAGCUGUAUGUUUGAAAUCUUGUGUACCUGAGAGAUUCCUGAAAUCGAAUCGAAGGUGCUGUUGCUUGAUUAACUGGG
rnacentral:misc_RNA from 1 species